AGGAGCUGGAUGAGGCGAAAGUUUCACGUCCAGUUCUGAAGCGGAGGUGCCCUGGGUAAUACCAGGCAUCGACCGUAAC
rnacentral:ncRNA from 2 species